rnacentral:rRNA from 1 species
UAACGGCGAGUGAAGCGGCAACAGCUCAAAUUUGAAAUCUUGGCCCUAGGCCCGAGUUGUAAUUUGCAGAGGAUGUUUCUGGCGAGGUGCCUUCCGAGUUCCCUGGAACGGGACGCCAUAGAGGGUGAGAGCCCCGUACGGUUGGUCGCUAAGCCUCUGUGAAACUCCUUCGACGAGUCGAGUAGUUUGGGAAUGCUGCUCUAAAUGGGAGGUAUACGUCUUCUAAAGCUAAAUACCGGCCAGAGACCGAUAGCGCACAAGUAGAGUGAUCGAAAGAUGAAAAGCACUUUGAAAAGAGGGUUAAAUAGUACGUGAAAUUGUUGAAAGGGAAGCGCUUAUGACCAGACUUGGACCGGUUGAUCAUCCAUCGUUCUCGGUGGUGCACUCUGCCGGUUCAGGCCAGCAUCAGUUUGUCCCGGGGGAUAAAGGCUUUGGGAAUGUGGCUCCUCCGGGAGUGUUAUAGCCCACUGUGUAAUACCCUGGGAUAGACUGAGUUCGCGCUCCGCAAGGAUGCUGGCGUAAUGGUCAUCAGUGACCCGUCUUGAAACACGGACCAAGGAGUCGUCUUCGUAUGCGAGUGUUCGGGUGUCAAACCCCUACGCGUAAUGAAAGUGAACGUAGGAGAGAGCUUCGGCGCAUCUCCGACCGAUCCUGAUGUUCUCGGAUGGAUUUGAGUAAGAGCAUACGGGGCCGGACCCGAAAGAAGGUGAACUAUGCUUGUAUAGGGUGAAGCCAGAGGAAACUCUGGUGGAGGCUCGCAGCGGUUCUGACGUGCAAAUCGAUCGUCAAAUAUGAGCAUGGGGG